AGGUAAUUAGCUCAGUUGGUAGAGCGUCUCGUUUACACCGAGAAGGUCAACGGUUCGAACCCGUUAUUGCCUA
rnacentral:tRNA from 1 species